rnacentral:misc_RNA from 1 species
AAAAGAGUGACAAGAUUCCCGUCCCAGCACCCACAUCAAGUACCACUUUAUCCUUGAUUAAGAAGGAGUUUUUGUAAAUAACAUUUUGGUAAGUUUUAGUUCUCACCACAUCCUUUAACAUCUCCCUAAGAUGAUAUAUGGGAACUUACUUCAUGAAUACCAAAGUGAGAAUAUGAGUCGAAGUAAUAGUCAGCGCUAGUCUUGUUGCUGCCCACAA